CAGCAGGUCAGCAGAAGGUGAGGGAAGAGGAUCCACCUGUCCUGUCCUGUCCUGUCCUGUCCUCUCCUGCCCUGUCCUGGCUCCAGCCCCUCCC
rnacentral:miRNA from 1 species